GCGUUAAGAAGAGGAGUCCUUCUCUUCCACUCCUCUUAAAUUUCUUAGUAUUUUCUCCAAACAUUUCUUCAUUCCUUAUGUCAUGUGAUGACUCUUGGAUUUAUGGGUGCAGAAGAGAAGGAAGAGUCCUUCUCUGGUAAGAAGUUUGAACACCAAAAUUUAUUUGGAAUGCCACAUAUUUUUAUGUGAUGAAAUGGAAGAG
rnacentral:lncRNA from 1 species